UAUAUAUGGAGCUCAUUGAGGCUGCCUAGCCCGCGAAUAGCCUGCUUACUUGCGAAUAGCCUGCUUGCUAAAAAACAAAACAAAAAUACUACAAAAAAAACAAAACAAAAAGCGUCUGCGCAGGAGAGUGGUGCGAUCAACACCACGGUGAAACGUCCGUGCAUGUUUAGGGUUCGAUCAUUAUUAAUAGAAAUUAAGGGGGUUGAUAAAUGGGAC